rnacentral:rRNA from 1 species
UACGUAGGGUGCAAGCGUUAAUCGGAAUUACUGGGCGUAAAGCGUGCGCAGGCGGUUCGGAAAGAGAGGUGUGAAAUCCCAGGGCUUAACCUUGGAACUGCACUUCUAACCACCGGGCUAGAGUACGUCAGAGGGGGGUAGAAUUCCACGUGUAGCAGUGAAAUGCGUAGAGAUGUGGAGGAAUACCGAUGGCGAAGGCAGCCCCCUGGGAUGAUACUGACGCUCAUGCACGAAAGCGUGGGGAGCAAACAGG